GUAUGAUAUGGAAGGAAAGUUAGCACUCCCCUUAACAAGGAUGGACAAGGCCAUUGUGCCUGACAACACACAUAGGGUUAAGAUGUUUCCACCUACUUUAUGGCAUCUAAUCAUCCUUUUCC